rnacentral:rRNA from 1 species
GUGGUAAUUCUAGAGCUAAUACAUGCUAAAAACCUCSACUUCGGAAGGGGUGUAUUUAUUAGAUAAAAAACCAAUGCCCUUCGGGGCUCCUUGGUGAAUCAUAAUAACUUAACGAAUCGCAUGGCCUUGCGCCGGCGAUGGUUCAUUCAAAUUUCUGCCCUAUCAACUUUCGAUGGUAAGAUAGAGGCUUACCAUGGUCUUAACGGGUAACGGGGAAUUAGGGUUCUAUUCCGGAGAGGGAGCCUGAGAAACGGCUACCACAUCCAAGGAAGGCAGCAGGCGCGCAAAUUACCCAAUCCCGACACGGGGAGGUAGUGACAAUAAAUACUGAUACGGGGCUCUUUUGGGUCUCGUAAUUGGAAUGAGUACAAUCUAAAUCCCUUAACGAGGAACAAUUGGAGGGCAAGUCUGGUGCCAGCAGCCGCGGUAAUUCCAGCUCCAAUAGCGUAUAUUAAAGUUGUUGCCGUUAAAAAGCUCGUAGUUGAACCUUGGGCCUGGCUGACCUGUCCUCCUAAUCGAGCGCACGGGUUCGGUCGGGCCUUUCCUUCUAGGGAACCCCAUGCCCUUCACUGGGUGUGGUGGGGAACUAGGACUUUUACCUUGAAAAAAUUAGAGUGUUCAAAGCAGGCCUUUGCUCGAAUACAUUAGCAUGGAAUAAUAGAAUAGGACAUCGGUUCUAUUUUGUUGGUUUCUAG